rnacentral:sRNA from 1 species
AGUUAAUCUGACAAUUGUGGGGUAUUGUUAAACUGUUUAGCAUCAUCUCCCUCCUACAACAAUAUUUAGCUAGCUUUGC